rnacentral:rRNA from 1 species
AUGAACGCUAGCUACAGGCUUAACACAUGCAAGUCGAGGGGCAGCAUGAACUUAGCUUGCUAAGUUUGAUGGCGACCGGCGCACGGGUGAGUAACACGUAUCCAACCUGCCGAUGACUCGGGGAUAGCCUUUCGAAAGAAAGAUUAAUACCCGAUGGCAUAGUUCUUCCGCAUGGUAGAACUAUUAAAGAAUUUCGGUCAUCGAUGGGGAUGCGUUCCAUUAGGUUGUUGGCGGGGUAACGGCCCACCAAGCCUUCGAUGGAUAGGGGUUCUGAGAGGAAGGUCCCCCACAUUGGAACUGAGACACGGUCCAAACUCCUACGGGAGGCAGCAGUGAGGAAUAUUGGUCAAUGGACGAGAGUCUGAACCAGCCAAGUAGCGUGAAGGAUGACUGCCCUAUGGGUUGUAAACUUCUUUUAUACGGGAAUAAAGUGAGGCACGUGUGCCUUUUUGUAUGUACCGUAUGAAUAAGGAUCGGCUAACUCCGUGCCAGCAGCCGCGGUAAUACGGAGGAUCCGAGCGUUAUCCGGAUUUAUUGGGUUUAAAGGGAGCGUAGGCGGACGCUUAAGUCAGUUGUGAAAGUUUGCGGCUCAACCGUAAAAUUGCAGUUGAUACUGGGUGUCUUGAGUACAGUAGAGGCAGGCGGAAUUCGUGGUGUAGCGGUGAAAUGCUUAGAUAUCACGAAGAACUCCGAUUGCGAAGGCAGCUUGCUGGACUGUAACUGACGCUGAUGCUCGAAAGUGUGGGUAUCAAACAGGAUUAGAUACCCUGGUAGUCCACACAGUAAACGAUGAAUACUCGCUGUUUGCGAUAUACAGUAAGCGGCCAAGCGAAAGCGUUAAGUAUUCCACCUGGGGAGUACGCCGGCAACGGUGAAACUCAAAGGAAUUGACGGGGGCCCGCACAAGCGGUGGAGUAUGUGGUUUAAUUCGACGCAACGCGAAGAACCUUACCAAGUCUUGACAUCCUGCGACGCACAUAGAAAUAUGUGUUUCCUUCGGGACGCAGAGACAGGUGGUGCAUGGUUGUCGUCAGCUCGUGUCGUGAGAUGUUGGGUUAAGUCCCGCAACGAGCGCAACCCCUAUUCUUAGUAGCCAGCGGUUCGGCCGGGCACUCUAGGGAGACUGCCAGGGAUAACCUGGAGGAAGGUGGGGAUGACGUCAAAUCAGCACGGCCCUUACGUCCGGGGCUACACACGUGUUACAAUGGGGGGUACAGAAGGCAGCUACACGGCGACGUGAUGCUAAUCCCGAAAGCCUCUCUCAGUUCGGAUUGGAGUCUGCAACCCGACUCCAUGAAGCUGGAUUCGCUAGUAAUCGCGCAUCAGCCACGGCGCGGUGAAUACGUUCCCGGGCCUUGUACACACCGCCCGUCACACCAUGGGAGUUGGUAAUGCCCGAAGUCAGUGACCCAACCGCAAGGAGGGAGCUGCCGAAGGUGGGAUCGAUAACUGGGGUG